rnacentral:tRNA from 1 species
GCUCGGUUCGUCUAGAGGCCCAGGAUGCCGCACUUUCAAUGCGGGCGGCGCGGGUUCAAAUCCCGCACCGAGCACCA